rnacentral:rRNA from 1 species
UACGUAGGGAGCGAGCGUUAUCCGGAUUUAUUGGGCGUAAAGCGUGUGUAGGCGGUUGAUUAAGUCUAAAAUUAAACACUAAGGCUCAACCUUAGUUUGUUUUAGAAACUGGUCGGCUUGAGUAUAGUAGAGGCAAGUGGAAUUUCUAGUGUAGCGGUAAAAUGUGUAGAUAUUAGAAGGAACAUCAGUGGCGAAGGCGACUUGCUGGACUAUCACUGACGCUGAGGCACGAAAGCGUGGGGAGCAAAUAGG